rnacentral:rRNA from 1 species
UACGUAGGGUGCAAGCGUUAAUCGGAAUUACUGGGCGUAAAGCGUGCGCAGGCGGUUGUGCAAGACAGAUGUGAAAUCCCCGGGCUCAACCUGGGAACUGCAUUUGUGACUGCACGGCUGGAGUGCGGCAGAGGGGGAUGGAAUUCCGCGUGUAGCAGUGAAAUGCGUAGAUAUGCGGAGGAACACCGAUGGCGAAGGCAGCCCCCUGGGCCAACACUGACGCUCAGGCACGAAAGCGUGGGGAGCAAACAGG